rnacentral:snoRNA from 1 species
UCAUCAGGUGGGAUAAUCUUUACCGGUUCCUCCUUUUGGAAGGCAGAUUAGAAAAUGAUGAUGGGAGUUCAUGUGAUGCGUGGUUAGCAUCUCUGCAUAAUUGGUACUUGUAACACCCUGAUUGCUCCUAUCUGAU